CCUUUUGGUACGACUUGGCUAUUCUCUCCGACGCCGAUGGAGAAUCUUCGUAUAAAAAAACUAGAUCGGCGGGAAAUCGAUUUUCAAAUUAGCAGGAUUCGUCUAAAUUCACGAGUCUAGAAGCUCUUGUUUCCUCAUCCCUGUUGAUUUUUCUCUCCCACUAGAAAUGGAUUCGGAUUCUGUGAAGGAGUUCAUACGAAGAGAAGUCCCGGAUUGGGACGACGAUGAAGUGGUGGCGACGGCCAGAUUCAAGGCGUUUAGUGGACAGAGAUCCGAUUGGGAAGUCAAAUAUCAGUUCUGGCGCGAUUUGAUCAUCAAGGUCUCGCGUCGUUUCGGAGUGUUCAUCAUUGAUCCUCUCCAGGUGAAGAAGACUUGGUUUGAUCGAGGAGGGAUGACGCCUCUAUGCAUUGAUCAUGUACUGUUAUUGAUGCAUAGUGAAGGUGAUGUUGUGCCGAUAAGCCAACUCGAAAGUCCGGUUAGUGGGCGUUUAUCUCGUUUGUUGAGGACAUUGAGAAGUUUAGUGGCUCAACCUUCAGUGAAGCCGGGAGAGAUUCUCGAAAGCAAACUUGUUAUUGUUCCCCUCUUGAAAGAGAAGGCUGCUGAUGUGGUGAGACUUUUAUCUGAGGGACACUGGACUUCUACUUGUGUUGUCACGCUGGACAAGUUCCAGGACCUGUGCGACGGCGGCUCGAAUGAGGCAUCUGCUGUUUUGAGUCACUUGUCAGGGUGUGGAAAAGCGCAUAAAAUCUUUAUUAAUCGGGGAGAAUUGAUUGAGGGUGUCAAAGUGUCCUUUUCAGAAGCAGCACUUCCCAGUAUUUCAACUUUAGACUGUGACAUUCUGCACUUGUUAAGAACUACAGAGAAGCUCCAAAAUCAACUUGAAGUCAUGGACCAGCGCUGUGAAAUGUCAAGGAAAUCUGCGUUGGCAUCUCUAAAGUCUGGACACAAGAAAGUUGCUCUAAGGCAUGCAAGGGAACUGAAGCUGACCACUGAGAGCAGAGAAAAAUGCACGUCACUUCUGAACAGAGUAGAGGAAGUGUUGAACACUAUAGCGGAUUCCGAAUCAACGAAAAUGGUCUCAGAAGCAAUCAAAACUGGAGCAAGGGUCAUGAAGGACAUCAAGAUCAGUCCAGAUGAAGUUCAUGACUAUUUGGAAGAAAUUGAAGAAACCAUUCAAUCGCAGAAGGAAGUGGAAAAAGCUCUCGAAUCAGCUCCAUAUCCAGAUAUCGAUGAUGAAAAUAUUGAAGAAGAAUUCUUGAAACUAGAAAUGGAGCUUGAAAGUGAAAGUUCCCAGGCCAGACCAACGACUUCAGAUACAGCAGAUUCACUGGCUGAUAUGUUUUCGGAGCUUAAACUUGGCAACACAAAACAAAUAUUAGAGGAGCAAGCUACUGAACCAGUUCGAAUGAAAGAUGGCGGAAAACAGAUUCUUGAAGCAGCAUAGUUUCACAAUGCAUCUUCAUUUUGGAAAGCUGGCACUAAAUAGGAGAAACUUGAGCAGAUCCUUUAAUGGUAAGUUGUUCUUAUCUUGUAGUGCUUUUUUGGAUCUGUAUGGUUCACCUUGAUAUGGCCCAGUGUUCUCAGUGAGAACUUCUCACUACUUACUUGGAGAAUAACAAGUCGGCGAAUCAGCAGGCAAAGCAGCAGACGGCGGCGGAACAGAUUGGGGCAAAUAGUUUUCCGUUGGUGUGAAAAGUGCUGAGUUUUGAAUUGGCAUUAGUCCAGGAUGGUUGAGAACCCUUAGCACAUCUGGCGAGUUACCAACCAAUGGCAAGCCAGCUCCUAGAACAGGCGCAGGGAGAAGCUGUGGUACGCCCAUUGGCAUACCUGUUGCUAGACCCAUCUGAGAGUAAUGCGGCCCCAAAGGCAACACCGUUGCUGGUGUAACAAAUCUGUUACCCAUCGCCAUCAUCUGUCAUCCAAGAUUUAUACAGGAACUUGUGGCCUCACAUCAUCUAGGCUCUGCGUUGAGACAAAAAAAUGUUUUCAGACAAGAACCUAACAGAUAAAACCCAAAUUCAACAAACUCUGUGGAUCAAUCAACCCUCUUACACUGCUUUGAUACGUCGAUUCUUCACUGUCUUCAGUAAAAUCUGUGGAUUCAUAGCCCAAUUCAACCGAUCUCUCAGCAACCGCAGAUUGCUCAUCCGGAGGUACAAUAUCAUUUCGGUUCUCAUAAUCAACCACCAUCCUCUUUGAUGAAGAAGCUUUCAACGUCUGAAUCAAAUUAAGUUGAUUCAUCAGAGCAUGUUUGUUUCAUAUGCAGCAACAACAAGAGGUUCUGGAAAAACCUGUGUGUCUACAAGAUUCUUGUUACUAGUAUCGACAUCAUGAAUAUGAACACUCUUCUUGAAAUCCUCGUUAUACUCGGCCUCGUACAAAUCCACGAUCGAUUUGGUACGUUGAUUCUGCAGAGAAAGGCCAUUGGAUCUUUGGCUCUUUGCAAGAAUCUGCCCAUUCUCAAACACAAGCUCCAUAUACUCUUGAUCAGUUAACCUGCAACAACAAAAAAAAAAAACGUAAGAACAAACAUCAUCUGCAUCAUCUUGUGUGUAUAUGCUAUGUGAAAUGAAGAACUUAAUUUGGUCUGAAGGUUGAUGAUGAUGAGGGAGAAGUCAUGUUUGUCUUGUUGAAUGAUCCCAAAAGGUUUUGUCUUCGUUUGGAAGAGUAACUAAAAGCUAUAUUUCUUUUGUUGAUCAACCUCAGUGCCUUUUAGCUCUUUAUAUAUAUUUUCACUUUUGUUUUUUUUUUUCAACUAUUAUUUAUUUAAUUUUGGUUCUCAGGUGCAUCCAACUAAUAAUAUCUUAAUAGGACAGUCCUGUUCAUUUGUACUAAGUCGAAUCUUAGCAUCUUCUAGUUUUUUCUAGAACUUUCAUCGCAAAUUUUGAUUUCUAUAAACAAAUCAUUAAUAAAAUACAAUUACAUAC